rnacentral:rRNA from 1 species
GAACUGAAGAGUUUGAUCCUGGCUCAGAUUGAACGCUGGCGGAAUGCUUUACACAUGCAAGUCGAGCGGCAGCGCGGGGGCAACCCUGGCGGCGAGCGGCGAACGGGUGAGUAAUGUAUCGGAACGUACCCAGUCGUGGGGGAUAACUAUCCGAAAGGAUAGCUAAUACCGCAUACGUCCUGAGGGAGAAAGCGGGGGACCGUAAGGCCUCGCGCGAUUGGAGCGGCCGAUAUCGGAUUAGCUAGUUGGUGAGGUAA